AGGUCCAUUCUAGUUCCCUGCAGGUUGGUGCCAGUACCUGCUGGGUUUCGCUUGUGGACCACAUUAAACUGGAAAACUUAAACGUGUGAGCUUACUGGUAGUCUGCUCAUUAUGUAGUUUUCUGGACAUGU
rnacentral:snoRNA from 1 species